rnacentral:rRNA from 1 species
CCUACGGGAGGCAGCAGUAGGGAAUUUUGCUCAAUGGGGGAAACCCUGAAGCAGCAACGCCGCGUGGAGGAUGAAGGUUUUCGGAUUGUAAACUCCUUUUGUUAGAGAAGAUAAUGACGGUAUCUAACGAAUAAGCACCGGCUAACUCCGUGCCAGCAGCCGCGGUAAUACGGAGGGUGCAAGCGUUAAUCGGAAUCACUGGGCGUAAAGAGCGCGUAGGCGGGAUAGCAAGUCAGAUGUGAAAUCCUAUGGCUCAACCAUAGAACUGCAUUUGAAACUGUUAUUCUAGAGUAUGGGAGAGGGAGGUGGAAUUCUUGGUGUAGGAGUGAAAUCCGUAGAUAGCGAGAGGAAUACUCGUGGCGAAGGCGACCUGCUGGAACAUAACUGACGCUGAGGCACGAAAGCGUGGGGAGCAAACAGGAUUAGAUACCCGAGUAGUC